rnacentral:rRNA from 1 species
ACUCCUACGGGAGGCAGCAGUAGGGAAUCUUCCACAAUGGGCGCAAGCCUGAUGGAGCAACACCGCGUGAGUGAAGAAGGGUUUCGGCUCGUAAAGCUCUGUUGUUAAAGAAGAACACGUAUGAGAGUAACUGUUCAUACGUUGACGGUAUUUAACCAGAAAGUCACGGCUAACUACGUGCCAGCAGCCGCGGUAAUACGUAGGUGGCAAGCGUUAUCCGGAUUUAUUGGGCGUAAAGAGAGUGCAGGCGGUUUUCUAAGUCUGAUGUGAAAGCCUUCGGCUUAACCGGAGAAGUGCAUCGGAAACUGGAUAACUUGAGUGCAGAAGAGGGUAGUGGAACUCCAUGUGUAGCGGUGGAAUGCGUAGAUAUAUGGAAGAACACCAGUGGCGAAGGCGGCUACCUGGACUGCAACUGACGCUGAGACUCGAAAGCAUGGGUAGCGAACAGGAUUAGAUACCCUGGUAGGAUAGCG